rnacentral:rRNA from 1 species
UACGUAGGGGGCAAGCGUUAUCCGGAUUUACUGGGUGUAAAGGGAGCGUGGACGGAAUGGCAAGUCUGAUGUGAAAGGCGGGGGCUCAACCCCUGGACUGCAUUGGAAACUGCCAGUCUUGAGUACCGGAGGGGUAAGCGGAAUUCCUAGUGUAGCGGUGAAAUGCGUAGAUAUUAGGAGGAACACCAGUGGCGAAGGCGGCUUACUGGACGGUAACUGACGUUGAGGCUCGAAAGCGUGGGGAGCAAACAGG